UUUGGUUAGCUUUAUUAGGAGACUCUCGCAGCCUCUCCUCAUCCACCACGGAAGGUGGGAGAGAGGGCGGGGGCGCUGUGUGGGGUGUUGGGGGAAGACGAUGAUAUGGUUACCUCACCGCGCGGUCUCUAAUUCGCUUGGUGCAGGUCGGGAACCGGUUCUGCUUCUACCACUGCGCCGGAUGGCGCGAAAUGGGCGGUUAUCUUGCCGGCGUUGAAUCGGAUCCCGCCUUGCAUCAACUGAAUCGGAGACCGCGGUGAAGCUUUGCAUGGAUCUCGGUUUUUUCUGGUGAUUAUUUCUCAGAUCUCAGGCUUGAUCAUCUCUAUGCUAUGGAGAGUAUUGUUUUACCUUAUCUGUCAAAUAAGAUGCCUCAUGGAUUACCUAACUUUUGAUGCUUCUGGAUGACAAAUAUAUAUUCACUUCCCCGGCAUUGCUUUUGAUGGAUUGUCAUUUAGCUUCCUGGAGGACCAGACCACACAGGCUGGUUGCAGUUCAAUCAAGUGUUACUAUGAGCUGUUCUCAUUUAUUCUGCUUGAUAAAUCAUGAGUUGCUAGACGAACUGAAGCCUGAUAUUUGCUCUUGUUGUUCGGUUGGUUCUGGUUCUCAAUAAUUUGGAUUCCUGAUGCAAGCUUUACAUUGGCCAGGGAUUGGAUUGAACUAGCAAUAUUAUGUCUGGAGGAAAUAAUGAUAUUUGCAUAGCUGCUUACUUGACUCCAUGAUUGCCUUGCUGCUGUCCUUUGGUGGUAAGAAAGUAUUAGUUUUAGCCUUUAAGGGCCUACCUGGAAAGAAAGAUUCUUAUUUGACCAAAAGGAAAGAUACUUGAUAAUUGCUUAAUCACUGUAGAAAUUUUUUUA